rnacentral:ncRNA from 1 species
UCCCAAAAACACAAAGUUUUGGUCCUAAACUUGCCAUUGUUUUUUACUAAAAUUAUACAUGCAAGCCUCCACACACCAGUGAGAAUGCCCACACACCCUAAAAAGAAAGCCGGAGCAGGCAUCAGGAUACUACACCCAUUUUAGCCUAAAACGCCUUGCACAUGCCACACCCACAAGGGCCCACAGCAGUAAUUAACAUUAAAAAUAAGCGAAAGCUCGAUUUAGUUAUAGUAAACAUGGCCGGUAAAUUUCGUGCCAGCCACCGCGGUUAUACGAAAGGCCAAAAACAACGACCAACGGCGUAAAGCGUGACUAGGACAACAAGACCUUUAAAGAAGUAUAACUGCCAGGCUGUAAAACACUACUGCAGAUUAGAACCACAGCAAUAACAAUGCCUUUAAACCCACCUCUCUCACGAAAGCUAAGAAACAAACUGGGAUUAGAUACCCCACUAUGCUUAGCCCUAAACACAAAUAGUAUAAACACAAUACGAUUCGCCAGAGAACUACAAGCGAAAAGCUUAAAACCCCAAGGACUUGGCGGUGCUUCAAACCAACCUAGAGGAGCCUGUCCUAUAACCGAUACCCCCCGUUUUACCUUACCCCUCCUAGCCAACCAGCCUAUAUACCGCCGUCGUCAGCCUACCUUAUGAAAGAAAUAAAGUGGACAAAAAAGUCAAUGACUAACACGUCAGGUCAAGGUGUAGCACAUGGAGCGGCAGAGAUGGGCUACAUUUUUUCAAAGACAAAACACGAAUAGUGAACUGAAAUACAUACUUAAAGGCGGAUUUAGUAGUAAAAUAAAUAAGAACAUUCAUUUUAAACCUGCUCUGAAGCGCGUACACACCGCCCGUCACCCUCAUCG